rnacentral:rRNA from 1 species
GUUGUGGAUGAAGGGAUGAAGCUUGUAGUUCAGGAAGCAUCGCUGAUAGCUGUGCUUCACGCCUGGAUCUUGUUGGUCCAUAAGAGAGUUGUUCGUCGGAAUGAAAAACCUUUCAUCCGGUAUAGUCCGAUGUUAAUCCGGGAUCAGGAGAGGAUAGCGAAUCUGAACUACAUCUACAAAUGCAAUGACACAGAGGCUCUGUGGAUGCUUCGAAUGGAAAGAGCACCUUUCGCCAGGCUUGUGCAGACGUUCAGGAGCGGGCUACUAGAAAAUAGCAUCCACGCCACUUUGGAAGAGCAAGUAGCGAUCUUCCUCCAUGUUGUUGGUCAUAACCAGAGGUUCAGGGUUAUACACAACACCUUUAGGAGAACAAUGGAGACCAUCUCCAGGUACUUGAAGCAAGUGCUCUAUGAUGUUGGGGAGCUAAGAGGAGAGAUGAUCAGGUCACCAUCCAGCUGGACUCCUGCCAAGAUCCGCACUAGCCCAAGAUGGUGUCCAUGCUUCAAGGUGAGCACUGAUAGUAUGUCGUUCAUGCCUUAA